AUUAAUUUGGCAGAAUAUUGUUUCAAUUUUAGAGUUUGAUUAUGUAAUUUAUUAUUACAGUUAAUA
rnacentral:tRNA from 1 species